GGAGGAGGAAGAUAAAGCACUGUGCUGUGUAACUGAACUGCUUCAUAGGUGCUAGAGUCCUGAGGAAUGGUCUUAAUAACACCUCCAAUGGCACAUGUUAAAUUGUGUUACAAGAAAUUCAGCUUAAAUUUCAUGACUCCCAAGGCAUCUGGCCAUUUGCAAAACCAGUGUGGCACUGCAAUGGAAGAACAGUUUAGACUGGAAGCUCCAUUUGCUAUCAGAAGACACUACACGCCUGAUGCCGCAUUUCCCUGCAUCUAGUGGUAUGGAGAGAAGACUGCAAUGGCGUUUGGGAGAACGAAGAGUUAUAGUAAUGAAAGUAACACCGAGUAAAGGAACUACAGCAAGACCUACAAGCUUCUCUCUGUUGGAGAUGGGGAAGGAGAAUGGGAGCCAUGGGAACAGCUUCAGAGGAGAGGACAGAGAAAGGGACCGUCAGAAUCCCACAGAGAUCUUCCCAGAAGAUGAGCAGAGCAAAUCAGAGAUGAGGCCAAAGGAAUUGUUACCACCCAUAACCUUCUCCUUUCUACAGACAGCGAAUCCACAGGUAGGGCUUAAUAGAAACACGCUGACUAGUUCAGAUUCCAUUUCUCUGCCUGCAACUCCUUCUGAAGAUAAUUUUGUACAUUGGCAGUUGGGAAAGAUUAAGCGGAAAUGUUGUUUCAAAGGAAGCUUUGUAACCAAUAGGACAGGUUGCAGGCCAGCAUUAUGACAAAGACCACUGUAGCACAGAUGACUGCUUUCCGUAGUAUUCUUGUCCGUUAUGCGAA